GGCGGACAUGCAAUAGUUCGCGCUGACUUAUAUUCCAACAUAGGAAGUGUUAUGAACAGCUGAUCGGAUCGGCAAAGCGUGUUUCUGGAAUAUUAUGUUUUUGUUGCUGCAAGUCUGGAAUAUUAUGUUUUUGUUGCUGGAAGUGCUUUUUAUGCAAUUUUUGCAAAGCUAUAUGUGGAAGGAAACCGUGACCUAGGGCAAGCUAAUGGAAUAAGAUAUCACUUUGGACGGACCAUUAUUCUGCACUGUCGAGCUCCAAACAACAACUUCACUCUUGUACAGUGGAGCAGAGCUGGUCUGGAGCCAGAACAUGUUGCUGUUUACAAGGGUGGACAGUUCCUUCCAGAUCACCAGCAUCCAUCUUUUAAGAACCGGGUGGAUCUGCAGGACAGACAGAUGAAGGAUGGAGACGUAUCUUUGAUUCUGAAUAAUGCGACGAGUGCUGAUAGUGGAAAAUAUGAGUGUCGUGUGUUCAACAGAGGAACAGUGCGCAGGAGGAGAACCCUGUCAAGGAUUCCUCCCAUCAACACCACCUACCUGAGUGUUGUUGAUCCUCCAGGUCAGACAGGAGGACACACAGAGGAUGGAGGGAAAGAGGAUGGAGGGAAGAAGGCAGGAGGGAAUGAGUUGUCUUGGGAGUUGUUAGCGAGGGUGGCAAGAGGGAUGGAGAUGUUUGCGAGGCUGGUUAGAGGGAUGGAGUUGUUGGUAAGGGUGGCUAUAAGGAUGGAGUUGUUAGCGGUGGAGACUACAUGGAUGGAGUGGUUGGCGAGGGUGGCUAGAGGUAUGGAGUUCUUGGUGGAAGUGGUUAGAGGGAUGGAGUGGUUGAUGGAGGUGCCUAUAGGGAUUGGGUGGUUGGCGUGGGUGGCUAGAGGGAUAGAGGUUUUGGCGGUUUUGGCUAGAGGGAUGGAGUGCUUGGCGAGGGUGGCUAUAAGGAUGGAGUUGUUAGAGGUGGAGACUAGAUGGAUGGAGUGGUUGGCGAGGGUGGCUAGAGGGAUGGAGUGCUUGGUGGAAGUGGCUAGAGGGAUGGAGUGGUUGGCGGGGGUGCCUAGAGGGAUGGGGUGGUUGUCGUGGGUGGCUAGAGGGAUAGAGGUUUUGGCGGGGUUGGCUACAGGGAUGGAUUGGUUGGCGAGGGUGGCUAUAAGGAUGGAGUUCUUGGCAGUGGAGACUAGAAGGAUGGAGUGGUUGGCGGGAGUGGCUAGAGGGAUGGAGUUGUUGACGGAAGUGGCUAGAGGGAUGGAGUUGUUGGCGGAAGUGGCUAGAGGGAUGCAGUUGUUCAAUUCAAUUCAAUUCAAUUCAAUUUUAUUUAUAUAGCGCCAAAUCACAACAAAAGUCGCCUCAAGGCGCUUUAUAUUGUACAGUAGAUAGCACAAUAAUAAAUACAGAGAAAAACCCAACAAUCAUAUGACCCCCUAUGAGCAAGCACUUUGGCGACAGUGGGAAGGAAAAACUCCCUUUUAACAGGAAGAAACCUCCGGGUUGGCAGGAGUGGCUAGAGGGAUGGAGUUGUUCAUGGAGUUGUUGUACAUAUAAUAGUAAAAAUUACAGGAGAUGCACACGCCUACAGUACAGCCAGGGCUAAUCUAAAGAAGGGCAUCAAAAAAGCCAAACACCAUUACAAAAAGAAGGUAGAAGAACACUUCUCCAACUCCAACCCCCGACGCAUGUGGCAAGGACUCCAGACCAUUACACACUACAGGACCACCAAACCCUCCCCCGCAUCCUCUGAUGUCUCCUUCCUCAACGAGCUCAACAACUUUUAUGCUCGUUUUAAGCGAGGGAACCCCACAACCACAACCAAAACAGACACGACGCCAGACCACCAACCUCUGACUCUCUCCCCCACCGAUGUAGGAGCGGUGCUGAGCAGGAUCAAUGUCCACAAGGCUGCAGGUCCUGAUGGCAUCCCCGGGCGUGUUCUCAGAGUGUGUUCUGGGGAGCUUGCAGGAGUCCUGACAGACAUAUUCAACCUGUCCUUGGCCCACGCUGUGGUACCGGCCUGCUUCAAAUCCACCUCCAUCGUCCCGAUACCCAAAAACUCCAACCCAUCUAGCCUCAAUGACUACCGCCCAGUAGCACUCACCCCCAUCAUCACUAAGUGCUUAGAGUAGCUGGUCCUAGCACACUUCAAAUCCUGUCUCCC
ensembl:lncRNA